rnacentral:rRNA from 1 species
GACGAACCGUGCGAACGUUAUUCGGAAUCACUGGGCUUAAAGCGCGUGUAGGCGGGCCGGCACGUCGGUGCUGAAAGCCCCCGGCUCAACCGGGGAACGGGCGCCGAUACGACCGGCCUGGAGGGGCGUAGGGGGAUCGGGAACUUCCGGUGGAGCGGUGAAAUGCGUUGAGAUCGGAAGGAACGCCCGUGGUGAAAGCGCGGUCCUGGACGCCUGCUGACGCUGAGACGCGAAAGCCAGGGGAGCGAACGGG